rnacentral:rRNA from 1 species
UACAGAGGUGGCAAGCGUUGUUCGGAAUUACUGGGCGUAAAGGGCGCGUAGGCGGUUCGAUAAGUCCCGUGUGAAAUCCCUCGGCUCAACUGAGGAACUGCACGGGAAACUGACGGGCUUGAGUUCGGGAGAGGGAAGCGGAAUUCCGGGUGUAGCGGUGAAAUGCGUAGAUAUCUGGAGGAACACCGGUGGCGAAGGCGGCGUUCGGGACUGCAACUGACACUGAGGAACGAAAGCCAGGGGAGCAAACGGG